rnacentral:rRNA from 1 species
AGCGUACACGGUGGAUGCCCUGGCAGUCAGAGGCGAUGAAGGACGUGCUAAUCUGCGAUAAGCGUCGGUAAGGUGAUAUGAACCGUUAUAACCGGCGAUUUCCGAAUGGGGAAACCCAGUGUGUUUCGACACACUAUCAUUAACUGAAUCCAUAGGUUAAUGAGGCGAACCGGGGGAACUGAAACAUCUAAGUACCCCGAGGAAAAGAAAUCAACCGAGAUUCCCCCAGUAGCGGCGAGCGAACGGGGAGCAGCCCAGAGCCUGAAUCAGUGUGUGUGUUAGUGGAAGCGUCUGGAAAGGCGCGCGAUACAGGGUGACAGCCCCGUACACAAAAAUGCACAUGCUGUGAGCUCGAUGAGUAGGGCGGGACACGUGGUAUCCUGUCUGAAUAUGGGGGGACCAUCCUCCAAGGCUAAAUACUCCUGACUGACCGAUAGUGAACCAGUACCGUGAGGGAAAGGCGAAAAGAACCCCGGCGAGGGGAGUGAAAAAGAACCUGAAACCGUGUACGUACAAGCAGUGGGAGCACGCUUAGGCGUGUGACUGCGUACCUUUUGUAUAAUGGGUCAGCGACUUAUAUUCUGUAGCAAGGUUAACCGAAUAGGGGAGCCGAAGGGAAACCGAGUCUUAACUGGGCGUUAAGUUGCAGGGUAUAGACCCGAAACCCGGUGAUCUAGCCAUGGGCAGGUUGAAGGUUGGGUAACACUAACUGGAGGACCGAACCGACUAAUGUUGAAAAAUUAGCGGAUGACUUGUGGCUGGGGGUGAAAGGCCAAUCAAACCGGGAGAUAGCUGGUUCUCCCCGAAAGCUAUUUAGGUAGCGCCUCGUGAAUUCAUCUCCGGGGGUAGAGCACUGUUUCGGCAAGGGGGUCAUCCCGACUUACCAACCCGAUGCAAACUGCGAAUACCGGAGAAUGUUAUCACGGGAGACACACGGCGGGUGCUAACGUCCGUCGUGAAGAGGGAAACAACCCAGACCGCCAGCUAAGGUCCCAAAGUCAUGGUUAAGUGGGAAACGAUGUGGGAAGGCCCAGACAGCCAGGAUGUUGGCUUAGAAGCAGCCAUCAUUUAAAGAAAGCGUAAUAGCUCACUGGUCGAGUCGGCCUGCGCGGAAGAUGUAACGGGGCUAAACCAUGCACCGAAGCUGCGGCAGCGACGCUGAUGCGUUGUUGGGUAGGGGAGCGUUCUGUAAGCCUGCGAAGGUGUGCUGUGAGGCAUGCUGGAGGUAUCAGAAGUGCGAAUGCUGACAUAAGUAACGAUAAAGCGGGUGAAAAGCCCGCUCGCCGGAAGACCAAGGGUUCCUGUCCAACGUUAAUCGGGGCAGGGUGAGUCGACCCCUAAGGCGAGGCCGAAAGGCGUAGUCGAUGGGAAACAGGUUAAUAUUCCUGUACUUGGUGUUACUGCGAAGGGGGGACGGAGAAGGCUAUGUUGGCCGGGCGACGGUUGUCCCGGUUUAAGCGUGUAGGCUGGUUUUCCAGGCAAAUCCGGAAAAUCAAGGCUGAGGCGUGAUGACGAGGCACUACGGUGCUGAAGCAACAAAUGCCCUGCUUCCAGGAAAAGCCUCUAAGCAUCAGGUAACAUCAAAUCGUACCCCAAACCGACACAGGUGGUCAGGUAGAGAAUACCAAGGCGCUUGAGAGAACUCGGGUGAAGGAACUAGGCAAAAUGGUGCCGUAACUUCGGGAGAAGGCACGCUGAUAUGUAGGUGAAGUCCCUUGCGGAUGGAGCUGAAAUCAGUCGAAGAUACCAGCUGGCUGCAACUGUUUAUUAAAAACACAGCACUGUGCAAACACGAAAGUGGACGUAUACGGUGUGACGCCUGCCCGGUGCCGGAAGGUUAAUUGAUGGGGUCAGCGCAAGCGAAGCUCUUGAUCGAAGCCCCGGUAAACGGCGGCCGUAACUAUAACGGUCCUAAGGUAGCGAAAUUCCUUGUCGGGUAAGUUCCGACCUGCACGAAUGGCGUAAUGAUGGCCAGGCUGUCUCCACCCGAGACUCAGUGAAAUUGAACUCGCUGUGAAGAUGCAGUGUACCCGCGGCAAGACGGAAAGACCCCGUGAACCUUUACUAUAGCUUGACACUGAACAUUGAGCCUUGAUGUGUAGGAUAGGUGGGAGGCUUUGAAGUGUGGACGCCAGUCUGCAUGGAGCCGACCUUGAAAUACCACCCUUUAAUGUUUGAUGUUCUAACGUUGACCCGUAAUCCGGGUUGCGGACAGUGUCUGGUGGGUAGUUUGACUGGGGCGGUCUCCUCCUAAAGAGUAACGGAGGAGCACGAAGGUUGGCUAAUCCUGGUCGGACAUCAGGAGGUUAGUGCAAUGGCAUAAGCCAGCUUGACUGCGAGCGUGACGGCGCGAGCAGGUGCGAAAGCAGGUCAUAGUGAUCCGGUGGUUCUGAAUGGAAGGGCCAUCGCUCAACGGAUAAAAGGUACUCCGGGGAUAACAGGCUGAUACCGCCCAAGAGUUCAUAUCGACGGCGGUGUUUGGCACCUCGAUGUCGGCUCAUCACAUCCUGGGGCUGAAGUAGGUCCCAAGGGUAUGGCUGUUCGCCAUUUAAAGUGGUACGCGAGCUGGGUUUAGAACGUCGUGAGACAGUUCGGUCCCUAUCUGCCGUGGGCGCUGGAGAACUGAGGGGGGCUGCUCCUAGUACGAGAGGACCGGAGUGGACGCAUCACUGGUGUUCGGGUUGUCAUGCCAAUGGCACUGCCCGGUAGCUAAAUGCGGAAGAGAUAAGUGCUGAAAGCAUCUAAGCACGAAACUUGCCCCGAGAUGAGUUCU